UACCAUCGUCGAUCGGCUGUUCAGAUUUUAUUAAUUGCAGAAGUUUCACAGCUUCAAUAGUAGAGAUAUUCCCAAAUAUCUGGUAUGUUAAUUUCUGAUGGUGAACUAUCAUAUCUCCUCAGUAUUUUUUUGUAUCCCUAAUAAAAAAACAUUUGUUUUAUAAAUUGUCCUGGAUAAGAUACAUUUGAGAAGAAACAAUCUAGAUUCACAAAAAUCUUAUCACUGCAAGAAUGGUGGAGGUAUUUUGAAGUUGGUGAAUUAUAUUGUGGAGGAUGAUUGCAGUAAGUUGUGCAGAUGCAAUGACUUCCUCUUCAUUUUCAUGUUAACAUUUUGGUAACUCUCAUCUGCCAUUGCCAUGCUGCACUAAAUUCCAACUAUCACGCCAUAGAUAAAGAUAGUAUUUACGUACGAGAAAAUAAAAAGUGCAACGGGAAAGAUUUCGAAAAGGCUAAUUCAAGAAAAUACGCUAUAUGCUUGCAUUUAUUGGGAAUUUAAAUGUGAUGAGUUAUGUCUUGUGAAUAUAUACUUUCGUUCGUGUCACAUGUUUUGCCAGUUUUGCUAUUCUAUUUAGCAUUUUUUUUUUCUUUUUAAUAGGAAGGGUAAAAAGCGAUGUUGAAUUUUACUACCUAGAAAUCAUAAUUAAUGUUAAAGAUAAUUAUAGUCACAGUCCUAAAUUUUUUAAAGUUUUGCAGCUUUUACUUUAACCUUUCAUUUGCUC
rnacentral:lncRNA from 1 species